UUAACUCAAAUUUGUAUGGACUUGGAAUGUUUGCCUACGUUUGCCGCUAGGGUCGCUGUCCCAACUACAUACUAAUCUGAGUUA
rnacentral:pre_miRNA from 1 species